GCAGACGUGGCCGAGCGGUUAAGGCGACAGACUAGAAAUCUGUUGGGGUUUCCCCGCACAGGUUCGAAUCCUGUCGACUGCG
rnacentral:tRNA from 1 species